UAAGUUCUAGCUUUUAUUUUAAAGACCAACAAAGCACUACCUGGAAACACUGCACAUGUGUGACAACUUUUUCUGCAAUUUUGCAUUACUGUUGGUUGGUAUACGGAUUCUAUAUUCUAUAUAAACGGUAUUUGUUUGAAAAUUAAAGAUGGAUCCACAAGAAGCACAGAAGUUGGCUGCCGAGCUCGAGGUAGAAAUGAUGGCAGACAUGUACAACAGGAUGACAAGCAGUUGUCAUAAAAAGUGUAUCAGCACAAGGUAUGACACUGGGGAUUUGGAAAAGGGGGAAGCUGUUUGUAUAGAUCGAUGUGUAGCUAAAUAUUUGGACAUCCAUGAACAAAUUGGGAAAAAGUUGACCGAAAUGUCUCAAACUGAUGAAGAAGCAAUGAGCAAAAUGUCACAAAAACCUGGUAUUCCUGCAAAUGUUUUGCAAAGAUGAAACAUAUAUUAAGCUUUCAGUUUAUGUAAACUUGCAAAAAAUACUUCUGUUUUGUUGCAAAAAAUCCAAAAAACACUUCUGCAACAACCAUAAUGCUAAUUGCCAUUUUAUUAAGAAGAUAAAACACAUUGGAAAUUUACUGCUCGUCUACAAAAUAGUUUUUGAAUAAAGUUUGUUUUCAGUACAAACUUACUUAAAUAUAAAUUUACAGAUGUUUAGUUUUGAUAUCAAAACAUUCUAGACUAGAAAGAACCAAAAUAUUCUACUUCUAUAAAGUAAUUUAGAAAAUACAUUGGCAAAGUUUACGGUAGUUUGGUAUCACGAAACUGUAAGAAUAAAGAAUGUAAUAUUGCAGUAUAUUA